UCGGCCACCUGCUAUAUAAAGGCUCGGGAAGCGCUGUUCUGCCUUUUUACCGCUGGACUCAGGUUGAUUCAAGUUGUGUGGGUGUUAGUGGCGCUCCUUGGGCCUCCAGGCCUACCCUCACCUCAUCAUGUGGGCUCUAUUGAUGGCCGUCCGCAGUCUUUGUAUAGCUCGACCGCAAGUGGAUGGAUUGUGACUGCAGGCUGUCACCAUUAUAGCAUUAAAAUGAGAAAUCUCCGCUAGUCUCUGCCCCAGCUCUGAGUACAUCAAUCCCACAACUUUAUGCCAUUGAACAUGUCAAGUUGGGACGUUGAGUAAAGGUGUAAACAUUUUCAAGUGAAUGAGCUGGAGUCUGUAAUUGGAGCAUGAAAUCAGCGUAUAUACAUUUGAGAAUUCUGAGAUAACAAGAUGUGCAGCUGGAGGAACACAGCAGACCUAGCAGCAUUAGAGGAGCAGAAAAGCUGUUUUGGGUUUGGACCCUUCAGAAAAUGGAGGAUUAUCUGAAUUUGGAGCAGAUCUUCAUAGUGAAAGUUGGAAUUGAAGAUUUCUGUAAUGUAGUUUGAUUAUGGCUUAAUAAACAUUUUUCAUUCA